ensembl:misc_RNA Metazoa_SRP Metazoan signal recognition particle RNA
GCUGGGCGCGGUGGUGCACACCUGUGGUCCCAGCUACUCAGGAGGCCGAGGUGGGAGGAUCGCUUGUGCCCAGGAGGUCAAGGCUGCAGUGAGCCAUGAUUGUGCCACUGCACUCCAGCCUGGGCAACAGAGCAAGACCCUGCCUCAA